rnacentral:rRNA from 1 species
AGAGCGAACGCUGGCGGCAGGCUUAACACAUGCAAGUCGAGCGCCCGUAGCAAUACGGGAGCGGCAGACGGGAGAGUAACACGUGGGAACGCGCCCUUCGGUUCGGAAUAACUCAGGGAAACUUGAGCUAAUACCGGAUACGCCCUUACGGGGAAAGAUUUAUUGCCGAAGGAACGGCCCGCGUCCGAUUAGCUUGUUGGUGAGGUAACGGCUCACCAAGGCGACGAUCGGUAGCUGGUCUGAGAGGAUGACCAGCCUCACUGGGACUGAGGCACGGCCCAAACUCCUACGGGAGGCAGCAGUGGGGAAUAUUGGACAAUGGGCGCAAGCCUGAUCCAGCCAUGCCGCGUGAGUGAUGACGGCCUUAGGGUUGUAAAGCUCUUUCGCUCGGGACGAUAAUGACGGUACCGAGAUAAGGACGCCCCGGCUAACUUCGUGCCAGCAGCCGC